GAUGAACGCUGGCGGCGUACCUAACACAUGCAAGUCGAGCGAUCUUCUUCGGAAGAGAGCGGCGGACGGGUGAGUAACGCGUGGGUAACCUGCCUCAUACACAUGGAUAACAUACUGAAAGGUAUGCUAAUACAAGAUGAUAUAAGAGAUUCGCAUGGAUUUCUUAUCAAAGCUUUUGCGGUAUGAGAUGGACCCGCGUCUGAUUAGCUAGUUGGUAAGGUAAUGGCUUACCAAGGCGACGAUCAGUAGCCGACCUGAGAGGGUGAUCGGCCACAUUGCAACUGAGACACGGUCCAAACUCCUACGGGAGGCAGCAGUGGGGAAUAUUGCACAAUGGGCGAAAGCCUGAUGCAGCAACGCCGCGUGAGCGAUGAAGGCCUUCGGGUCGUAAAGCUCUGUCCUCAAGGAAGAUAAUGACGGUACUUGAGGAGGAAGCCCCGGCUAACUACGUGCCAGCCGCCGCCGUAAUAC
rnacentral:rRNA from 1 species